rnacentral:tRNA from 1 species
AGGGCUAUGGCCAAGCGGAAAGGCACUAGACUUUGACUCUAGUAUUCCCUGGUUCGAAUCCAGGUAGCCCUGCCA